CUCGUGUUAAUCAGCUCGAUUACACCCUGUGCCUUAUCGCGAGGACAGAGGGCUUUCUGUAUUCCGGGUUCCCAGGUGCUUGCCUUAGUGUACCGAUCGGAACACACAUGGGCUUGGAGGAUGGGCGCGAGGUUUUUUACUGGGUGGUGGAAGUAGCUCUCAGCAGGUGGAUGGGGAGCCAGAAGAGGGAUGGAGUAGGAAGCUGGUCUUCCCUGGAGUCCGGCCGCUCAGCGGCCGGGCUCUCCUCUGACCACCCUUGGCCAAAUUCCACGUCAUCCACAUCGUUCUGCUGUCAAUGGUCGGCCAGCGUCUCUGGGCCCCAACAGGUCAAGUAGAGAAAUCCAGGAAGAAAAGACAAAUGCAAGCAUGCUGUCUUUAAAAUGCAUCACAGACUGUUUUCUUUCAGUGAAUGGAAGAGUUUGACAGAGCAACAACUUUAUCUUCUCCAGUCAGAUCCUCCUCCAGCAGGUGCCCAUUUGGCAAAACUCCUCCUUUGUCACCUCUUUGUCUUUGCUGGCCGCUGCUCCAUCUGGAGACAGCACACCUCUUCUUAAUGGCUUCGGAAGGAAUUCUAUCUGCUCUUAGAUCAUGAACUCCCAGAACAUUCUGCUGUCCACCCCAGUCCUCUAAACCCACACUGAUAUCUCCUUUCUCUGAAUCUUUUUAGGAUUUACAAUUUAUACCACAUGAUUGAGCCCUAUACAAGAUAACCUAUCUUGUAUUGUUCUCUAAUCUUUAUGUCAUUAAGUGUCUUAGUAAAAACAGCAUAUGUAUAUACAAGAAUCACUUCAUAUUUUUUUCUCUGUCCUGCAUAGCUC
rnacentral:lncRNA from 1 species